rnacentral:rRNA from 1 species
UGAGGAAUAUUGGUCAAUGGACGAGAGUCUGAACCAGCCAAGUAGCGUGAAGGAUGAAGGCUCUAUGGGUCGUAAACUUCUUUUAUAUGGGAAUAAAGUGAGCCACGUGUGGCUUUUUGUAUGUACCAUAUGAAUAAGGACCGGCUAACUCCGUGCCAGCAGCCGCGGUAAUACGGGGGGUGCAAGCGUUGUCCGGAAUCAUUGGGCGUAAAGCGUUCGUAGGCGGUAUAUCAAGCCUGGUGUUAACGCCCGGGGCUCAACUCCGGUUCGGCACUGGAUACUGGUAAACUAGAAUGCGGUAGAGGUAAGGGGAAUUCCUAGUGUAGCGGUGAAAUGCGUAGAUAUUAGGAGGAACACCAGUGGCGAAGGCGGCCUGCUGGGCUUUUACUGACGCUGAGGCUCGAAAGUGUGGGUAGCAAACA